GAUGAACGCUGGCGGCGUGCCUAAUACAUGCAAGUCGAGCGAACAGACGAGGAGCUUGCUCCUCUGACGUUAGCGGCGGACGGGUGAGUAACACGUGGAUAACCUACCUAUAAGACUGGGAUAACUUCGGGAAACCGGAGCUAAUACCGGAUAAUAUAUUGAACCGCAUGGUUCAAUAGUGAAAGACGGUUUUGCUGUCACUUAUAGAUGGAUCCGCGCCGCAUUAGCUAGUUGGUAAGGUAACGGCUUACCAAGGCGACGAUGCGUAGCCGACCUGAGAGGGUGAUCGGCCACAUUGGAACUGAGACACGGUCCAGACUCCUACGGGAGGCAGCAGUAGGGAAUCUUCCGCAAUGGGCGAAAGCUUGACGGAGCAACGCCGCGUGAGUGAUGAAGGUCUUCGGAUCGUAAAACUCUGUUAUUAGGGAAGAACAAAUGUGUAAGUAACUAUGCACGUCUUGACGGUACCUAAUCAGAAAGCCACGGCUAACUACGUG
rnacentral:rRNA from 1 species